AUUGAACGCUGGCGGCAGGCCUAACACAUGCAAGUCGAGCGGUAGAGAGGUGCUUGCAUCUCCUGAGAGCGGCGGACGGGUGAGUAAUGCCUAGGAAUCUGCCUAGUGGUGGGGGAUAACGUUCGGAAACGGACGCUAAUACCGCAUACGUCCUACGGGAGAAAGCGGGGGAUCUUCGGACCUCGCGCCAUUAGAUGAGCCUAGGUCGGAUUAGCUAGUUGGUGAGGUAAUGGCUCACCAAGGCGACGAUCCGUAACUGGUCUGAGAGGAUGAUCAGUCACACUGGAACUGAGACACGGUCCAGACUCCUACGGGAGGCAGCAGUGGGGAAUAUUGGACAAUGGGCGAAAGCCUGAUCCAGCCAUGCCGCGUGUGUGAAGAAGGUCUUCGGAUUGUAAAGCACUUUAAGUUGGGAGGAAGGGUAGUAACCUAAUACGUUGCUACUUUGACGUUACGACAGAAUAAGCACCGGCU
rnacentral:rRNA from 1 species